rnacentral:lncRNA from 1 species
GUAAGGAGAAUUAAGGAGAAUAAAGUUUCAAUUCAUAAAGGAGGUUGAAAGUUAAUUUUUUCCAUCAACAAAUGCAACAUUUUUGUUAUUUUGCUGAAUUUUUGUCUCAUUAUUCAACAUUCUAUCACGGUCACCCCUUUAAGUUUCAGCAGCAAAUAACUCUUUUUUCCUGGUUGAAUCUCCUUUUAUGACUUGUAUAGACGAAGAUGUAGAAUCGUGAUAGGAUUUUCCAGUUUCUUUGGUUGACUCAGAUCCAAACCCAUAAACCUUACCUUUGUUAAUUCUAGCAACUUUACACCAAAGAGUAAUUCAUCAGGUGGAGACACUCUUACAUCAGAUAUUGAUUGGGAUGCUUGCUUUUCCCAUGCACAAGUAUAUUUUGCCUAUGAACAUCAGAGUCCUGUUAACCAAACAAAACAAUUAUGUUGCAUUAAUAGAACGGAUUUUUUAAAUAAGUAAAUUUUGAAGAUGUAAUGACUUGAUAAAUCUUUAAUUGAUACAAGAGAACAACAAAAAAAAACUUUGGAAUUUUCUGCCAAAACCUUGUUUGUUUUAUUGUUUUGGCAGAGAUUAAUGGAUGCUAGCUAAGAAGUUCCUCAUUUUUGCAUAAAUUGUAUAUGCUCGGACUCUGUCAAGACUGAUAUAAACCAUAACCAAGACUUGUUAAGCAUUGAUGAAGGUGUCGAAAAUCCUGUUAGGCUAGCAUUGUUGUCUGAUCAUGGUCCUC